AAUUGACGGGGCCCGCACAAGCGGUGGAUUAUGUGGAUUAAUUCGAUGCAACGCGAAAAACCUUUACCUGGCCUUGACAUGUAGCGAACUUUCCAGAGAUGGAUUGGUGCUCGAAAGAGAACGCUAACACAGGUGCUGCAUGGCUGUCGUCAGCUCGUGUCGUGAGAUGUUGGGUUAAGUCCCGCAACGAGCGCAACCCUUGCCAUUAAUUGCCAUCAUUUAGUUGGGCACUUUAAUGGGACUGCCGGUGACAAACCGGAGGAAGGUGGGGAUGACGUCAAGUCCUCAUGGCCCUUAUGGCCAGGGCUUCACACGUAAUACAAUGGUCGGUACAGAGGGUUGCCAAGCCGCGAGGUGGAGCCAAUCCCAGAAAGCCGAUCGUAGUCCGGAUUGUAGUCUGCAACUCGACUACAUGAAGUCGGAAUCGCUAGUAAUGGCGGAUCAGCAUGCCGCCGUGAAUACGUUCCCGGGUCUU
rnacentral:rRNA from 1 species